UACAGAGGGGCAAGCGUUGUUCGGAAUUACUGGGCGUAAAGGGCGCGUAGGCGGCCUUCUAAGUCGAACGUGAAAUCCCUGGGCUCAACCCAGGAACUGCGUCCGAUACUGGAAGGCUUGAAUCCGGGAGAGGGAUGCGGAAUUCCAGGUGUAGCGGUGAAAUGCGCAGAUAUCAGGAGGAACACCGGUGGCGAAGGCGCCACUCUGGGCCGGUACUGACGCUGAGGAGCGAAAGCGUGGGUAGCAAACGGG
rnacentral:rRNA from 1 species